CCGCUCAAACCAUUUUUUUCCUAAACCUAAUUUCUUUCCAAACCUCAUCAACCCCUUUCUUCUUCUUUCUAUCAGCCGCCAAAACUCAACAACCACCAAAACUCUCACGCCUCCUCAUUCGAUCGACUCAACCCUCGUCUCUCAUUCUCUCACAUCUCCAUUUAUGAACGGUGGUUAGACUCAUUCAACCAUCUUCUUCAUUCAAUCUCACAACCAUGCAUACAAGCCAGCUUCGUCGUCUUCUUCUCGUCUUCGUAACUUCCGGCGCCGCUAGAUAACCACCACCGUCAUCGCCUUCGCUUGAAUCAAAGGUCUCGGAACACCAAUCACAUCCGAAGUACAUCAUUCCUCCAUUUCAACCGCGAUUUUGAUUCUUAACACAAAACCCUAGGUUCUUUACGGACAGAAUUGAGCAUUCACUGUCACAAAUUGAGCUCAAUUCCUUGGGGGUUCGAUUCACCAUAGCAUAAGCUUCGUGUUGGUGACAAGAACUAAGCAAAACGGUGAAGUAAAGAAUGAGUUCGGCAGUUACCUAUCAGAGAUUAACAAAUGCAAUUUCGACAACGACGAAGAGAAAAAGAAAACCAGAUGCUCCGCCUUUCAGGGUAAACCAAGAAAUAACACACAGAGAUGAUGUAACUUUUUGGCUGAUACUUUGUCAAUAGGUUUCAUAGGAGAUGACAAGGAGACUUUUGAGACAUUUGAAUCUAUGGAGUUUGGACUACUCUUUUUCUAGAGGAACUGCUCAUUUACUUGCAAAGAUCUUGACUAUCAACAAACUCUACGGUACAUGGUUUCAUUCGUGAUUGAGUUUUACACCGUUUAUUGUCACCACAUGUUUGGUUGAACACUGGUGGUUUCCUUGACAGGGGUACAACUUGCUGUUAACAACCAUGCGUGGUGAUUUUACUGUGUUUCAUUUCCAGUCAAAUUAUCUGGCUUUGCUUUCAGUGCCAACGGGUGGGUUCAAUCCUAUGGAUCCCACUAUGUCAAACAAGCAAUUAUCUAUGGUGAUGUGAGUCGUCCCAAGCCAAUGACUGUUUUCUGGUCUUCAACAGCUCAAAGUUUGACAAAACGACCUAUGAAGGGAAUGCUUAUUGGCCCUGUUACAAUUCUGAACUGGUCCUUUGUUAGAGAUGACCAACCUUGAUUUGAGACUUGCUACCAGAUUGCGUUGGCUAUAAAGGAUGAGGUUGAGGAUCUUGAGAAAGCUAGCAUUACUGUCAUCCAAAUCGACGAGGCUGCUUUAAGAGAAGGUUUGCCUCUAAGGAAAUCUGAGGAGGCUUUCUAUCUAAACUGGGCAGUUCACUCAUUUAGGAUUACAAACUGUGGUGUGCAAGACACUACCCAGGUUCAACUUUACUUCACGGGCUCUAAUCUUCAUUAAUGAUUAUUAUGCAGUUUAUUUACUAAGCUUGUAUUAAUUCUAACAACAUUUCUACAAGAGGAUUACAACAAGUGUCAAAAUUGUGGAAAGUUCAGUCCAAAAAUCACUGAACCAUUCUUCGGAUGGUUUCACAUAGUAAAUUAUUUGUUUCUCUCCUUGAUGGAUUCUAUUUUUCAGAAAUUGGUAAUUUUUCUUCUUUUUCAUGUUAUUUCUCCAUAUUUGCUAUUUGGUUGAUGGUUCUAGGAAGCUCUAUCGGAUUCUCAAGCCAGAGAAAAUGAUAUUAAAGAAAGCGGUGUAUCCUUUGCAAGUGAAAGAAGUAGGUGAUAAUGGAAUUUUGAGGACAGUGAUGUUAAGAAGAACCAAGGACACAAAGGAUAAAGAAGGAAGGCUUAUACUUGUCCUGCCUCCAACUGAUAUUCAAUUGAUUGAGUGUGAACAGUCAGAAUCUGAACGGGACUUCUACGAUGCUCUCUUCUUGAGAUCUAAACUGAUCCAUUGUCUGGCUUGAAACUUGUUUGGGAGUGUGAUGCUAUAGUUCACCGCGUAGUUGAACACUCAUUCAAAUCCAAGAAAAUGGGAGGGUGGAGAGGAAGCAGAUUGUGAUGAAGAUAUGGAAGAAGCCUGUGAUGAUCAUGAAGAUGUGGAAGAAGUUUGUGCUGAAGAUGUUGAAGAAGAUGUGGAAGAAGAGCAAGGAGAAGAUCAAUAAGAAUAGUUGUAGGAUGUUAUCUAGCUAGCCAGUUAUUAGAACUGUUUUUGGUUAUUUUGGGAUGACUCUUUUUUUAGCCAAACUUGUGUUUAAUAUGGUUGUUUUGAAUUUUGAAUUUAGGAUGACAUCAAAACUUAAGUAUCCAACUAUUAUUAGUGACACUACAAAAAAAACAUACUUUUGACCUUAAUGUUAAUUUUAUUGUUAAUUUUAUA